rnacentral:rRNA from 2 species
UUGGAAACAGAUGCUAAUACCGCAUAAAUCCAAGAACCGCAUGGUUCUUGGCUGAAAGAUGGCGUAAGCUAUCGCUUUUGGAUGGACCCGCGGCGUAUUAGCUAGUUGGUGAGGUAACGGCUCACCAAGGCAAUGAUACGUAGCCGAACUGAGAGGUUGAUCGGCCACAUUGGGACUGAGACACGGCCCAAACUCCUACGGGAGGCAGCAGUAGGGAAUCUUCCACAAUGGACGCAAGUCUGAUGGAGCAACGCCGCGUGAGUGAAGAAGGCUUUCGGGUCGUAAAACUCUGUUGUUGGAGAAGAAUGGUCGGCAGAGUAACUGUUGUCGGCGUGACGGUAUCCAACCAGAAAGCCACGGCUAACUACGUGCCAGCAGCCGCGGUAAUACGUAGGUGGCAAGCGUUAUCCGGAUUUAUUGGGCGUAAAGCGAGCGCAGGCGGUUUUUUAAGUCUGAUGUGAAAGCCCUCGGCUUAACCGAGGAAGUGCAUCGGAAACUGGGAAACUUGAGUGCAGAAGAGGACAGUGGAACUCCAUGUGUAGCGGUGAAAUGCGUAGAUAUAUGGAAGAACACCAGUGGCGAAGGCGGCUGUCUGGUCUGUAACUGACGCUGAGGCUCGAAAGCAUGGGUAGCGAACAGGAUUAGAUACCCUGGUAGUCCAUGCCGUAAACGAUGAAUGCUAGGUGUUGGAGGGUUUCCGCCCUUCAGUGCCGCAGCUAACGCAUUAAGCAUUCCGCCUGGGGAGUACGACCGCAAGGUUGAAACUCAAAGGAAUUGACGGGGGCCCGCACAAGCGGUGGAGCAUGUGGUUUAAUUCGAAGCAACGCGAAGAACCUUACCAGGUCUUGACAUCUUUUGAUCACCUGAGAGAUCAGGUUUCCCCUUCGGGGGCAAAAUGACAGGUGGUGCAUGGUUGUCGUCAGCUCGUGUCGUGAGAUGUUGGGUUAAGUCCCGCAACGAGCGCAACCCUUAUGACUAGUUGCCAGCAUUUAGUUGGGCACUCUAGUAAGACUGCCGGUGACAAACCGGAGGAAGGUGGG